rnacentral:rRNA from 1 species
AACGCGAAGAACCUUACCAGGUCUUGACAUCCAGGUAAAACCUAAGAGAUUAGGAGUGCCUUCGGGCAAUCUGAGACAGGUGGUGCAUGGUUGUCGUCAGCUCGUGUCGUGAGAUGUUGGGUUAAGUCCCGCAACGAGCGCAACCCUUAUUGCUAGUUGCCAGCACGUAAAGGUGGGAACUCUAGUGAGACCGCCGGGGACAACUCGGAGGAAGGUGGGGACGACGUCAAAUCAUCAUGCCCCUUAUGUCUUGGGCUACACACGUGCUACAAUGGCCGGUACAAAGGGCAGCGACCUCGUAAGAGUAAGCGAAUCUCAAAAAGCCGGUCCCAGUUCGGAUUGUGGGCUGCAACCCGCCCACAUGAAGUCGGAGUUGCUAGUAAUCGCGAAUCAGCAUGUCGCGGUGAAUACGUUCCCGGGUCUUGUACACACCG